UCCCGCGUGCCCCGCGCCGUUACUAAAUCGGGCGGGAGGAAGGUCACGCCGCAGGUGACUAACGGCGCCCGGGAUGCCGGGUGACCUCAGUGCGGGGCCGCGGCAUCCCCUCGCCCCGCCGGAGGGGGGGGGGGGGGAGGGGGAGAGGGGGGGUCACGGCGCUCCGCUCACGCCCCCUGCCGGGCGGACCCCGCCGGCUUCCCCACCGCAGCCGCGAAGGGGACCGCUAACGGCCGGCAGCCGCCCGCGCCGCCGCACCCCGGGCCGGGCUCCCGCGGCGCCGCUCCCGGCCCUCAGCUGCGCCCGUCCGUCAGGGCCGCCCCCCGCACGCGGGGCGGGGCCGGGGGGCGCUGGCCCUUUAAGGCAGCGAAGCCCCGCGAGCAUUCCAACCGCAUCUUUCCCCAACGGUGCGGCCGCGUCAUCGUUCCGGGAAGCAGAUGGCGUCAUCCCGUCCUCCCGCGGCGGAGGGGCGGGGACUCGAAACAAAGGAAUAAAAAUAGAAGGAGCUCUCCAGAAGGCACGCGGGAGUUGUAUCUGUGACUUAAACACUCUUCUGUGCAUUUCUAUCCUCGCUCAACAGGACUUCCUUUUGGUAGGAAGAGUAGUUAACUUGGGAGCAAGGGUCUCAGGAAACAGUCCGCCACGGUUUGAUUUAGUCCUGUUCAUCCUGUGCUGCCGUUGCAGAAGUCCUCAGGGCUGUCCUGCUAAUCCACUUGCUGAUAUUGCAGAGCUCUCUUCACCUGGCGUCAUCUCCGCAUCAGAAAUUGGUUGUCCUAUUUCUCAGCAGGGCUGCUGCCCUGAGUCUUCUCAGCCCACUGCUGCAUUUCCAGUUGGUUGCCUUGUACUGCCCUCUCGUGGUGAAACACUCUGCUUGCCAGCUCGCAUCAGGAGCAGGGAGCCUUCUGGCACUUCUUUCUCUGUAUUUGUUACGCGUUAACGCUGUUUCAGAAGAAUCAUCUUGCCUUGAGAAGGAGAAAAUUCAUGAGGAUUUUUAUCUACACUUCUGCAAGAAUAAGCAUAGAAAGAAAGAAACUCCUAUGAAACCAAGUGCUAACUUCAACCAGUGCCACUUUUUCCUCCCAGUGGGGCAGAAAUCUGAAGGACUUUUCAUCUCCAGAGUACAGCAAUUAGGACGAAGGCUGACCUCUCAGAGCCAAGCAUCUCAGAGAUAAAUAGGCCACUGUGGAAAACCAGCUGUCAGAGAUGCCCAGCUGACUGCAGUGACACAAUGCCAGGCCUGGACUUGCCAACUCACAGCGUGUGAAGCUGUAAGAAGAAGAUAUAAACAAGAACAAGAGCUGAGAAAUGCAUUUUUUCUUGUAUUACAACUACACUUCUUACCAGCCCCUUCUUUUCCAGCAUUCAACACAACUGUAUCAAGCAGCCUGCUGCCAAUAACUGAAUAUUAUUUGAGAAAAUGAGUUGAAAUCAGUUCUGCCUUUCUCAGUAGUUACAAUAUAUAAGCAAAUACUUUGUUAGGCUGAAAUAGUAAAAUGCACCAGAGACGUUUUCUUUUUUCCUGCCAGGUUUUUUUGUUCAAGUGGGUUGAAGUUGGCGGUAGCUUCAGCUAGACAAGAGCCAGAUUUCCUUCUUCUGGAAAAGUCUGCAGCUUCUAUUUAUUUCUCUGUUCUGAAAGGGAAUUAGAAGAGACGCAUUCAGAGCUUCCCAUGAAAUUCUGUUCUGGAAAAAUAAACAUUAGGAAAGGCUUUUUAUAACCAGUGUGUGUGGAGGUACACGAUCAGCUCCUUGCUUCGCUCAGCUGUGUUGCUUGAGCAAGGGAGAUCUUUCUGUAUGCACACUGUCUUGUUCCUUUGAGCCUCCUGACGUGUCAGAAAUUAAUGUGUGGGAAAAUGGGUAAGAAAUCCUUUUGAGGUUAAGAACCUCAAGAUCUCUGGUUUGUAUUCACACUGAAUCAGAUAGUUUCGUGAGCACACAGCACAUAGUGUUCUAGAGGUCUGAGGAACAGGGAAGGACAGAGUCAAGCCUUAGGCGGUGAUUUCAGGGCAGGUGAACCUGAGUGCUGAGAGCAUAGGGUUUCAGUGGUUCACACAGGAUAACACAGGAAUUUGGGAAUUGGGAGAACUGGGUCACUUUUUCCAUUCUUCCCUUCUUCACACUUUUUUUCAGUUUCAUCAAUAUGUUUUGACAUAGUCUCCCCUACUCUUCCCUUCUUAUAUUAAUACUGUGUUUUACUUACAGUUAAAAACAGAACAAAACCCUAGAUGACAAAUUCUGAAUGAGAAGAACCUGAUGUCUGUAGGAAUUUUGCUGGAUUUGCUUCUCAGUAUACGUGAAGCAAGUUACGUAACUUUUUGCCUUGGUGGUUGGCCAGUGUGUGAGAUCUAUGGUUUAUUUCUUUCAAAAUGUUGGUAGGAAGUGAUCUGUCUUUGUGGACAUCCUUUGUAAUCAAAAUGGGAUUAAACUGCAGUCCUGUUCCCCUGAAUGAAGCAGGAAAAUAGACAGAAGGAAACGGCUCCUUUGGCUGUAAUGCAGGCCUCUCCGUUCAGACAGCACUGCGCUCAGAAAACUCUCCCCUUUUCUCUCUUUAUGUGUGCUCAGGAUCAUUCUACAAAAUGUCCCUCUGAUUUCCAUCUUUGCCUGCAUUUGGUCUUCAGAUGGGUUUUGCUCUCUCCUGUCUCAGUGGAAUUAUAAGGAUAAUGGAGGUGCUUUUUAACAGUCUAAACUAAGCCUUAAACAGGGGAUAUAGUAAGUGUUAUUUCUUACUGGCUGAUGUAGGCAAACCUGUGUUUUGCUAUACUGUACAUUUUAACUCCUGGAUUCCAGCAUUUUGCAGUUAGUAAUCCCUAAUCCUCAUCAUGCAUAUGAACACCAUUAUCUGAAGUGGGCAUUUAGAUCAAGAACCAGACUGUAUGGCUGUUACCUUUGGCUUUAAAAGCCCUGGAGAGCUGCUUAAUUUUACCUAUUACCAUGCAAUUGGAAAAGAAGCUUUCAUCCCACCCCCAGAAAUCAAGAAUAAGCAUCACCAUAACAUGUGAUUUCUUUUUAGAGCCUUCCACUAGAUUUGGCAAUAGCUUCAGUGCUCAUUAUUAAUUAGCUGAUGCUGCAUCUUGCAACAGUAUUUGUGCUAGUGUUGUUAGAACUCCUUGCAGCAUGUAUCCAUACAGCCUCUGCAAAAGGAGCUGUGAAGGUAAAGGGAUAAUGAUGCAUGCAGGUGACUGCAGUAGGGUACUGAAGUUCCAGUGUAAUUUUAUUCAGAAGCAAAUGUCUAAUUCAAGAAUUGGGGAUGGAAACUGGAUCUGUAAUUACGUUCACAAAUUGAGAGGUCCUCUUUUGGAGCUUAAUCUAAACAAUAUAGAGAAUGUAGGUUUCUGAGCACCAUAGGAAACAUCAAAGCUGACCACAUAGAUUAUGGUGGUCCAGGAAAAGGAGGAAUUGGAUUCUGGAACAGUGAACAUCAGCAUAGCUCCGUUGGAGCUUUUUAUUGAUGUACGCAAGUUGAAAAUUGUUAUAUGACUUCAAGUUGCAUAGAAACAAAGCAAACCAAAGAAACUGUUAUGAAAGCAACCAUCCAGGCAAACAUGGGGGAAGAGAAACACAGUGAAAACAGAACUCUUUCUAAAUUAAAUUUACUGACUAAAUGUAAUAAAGUUUCCUACUGGGGAGUUUCUGGGAAACAUAGAUUGAAAUGGGAAGCAAACUUUGAUUGCUCUUUCUGCUGCCUCGAUGGCAUACUUACAGCAAGAAGUAAAUUUCGUUUUUGUACUGCUUCUAAAAAAGCUUUCUAGAUAAAAACACCCAUGCUUCACAACCACCUUAAGAAGCAUUUGUUGUGAUUGUUGCUAAAGGAACAGCGUUUCUUUAGUUUCAUAAAUACCAGAGUUAACAAGCUUCUAAAAACAAGCAGAAUUGCCUGUAGGUGAUUUCCAUUUAUACAGAAAUAGUUACUCUCUCAACUUAAACUUUCCCUAAACUUUCUCCCUGGGCCUGUUACCUAUUAGCGCAUACUUUACUGUCCUGUUCCUGCUUCCUUUAGCUGUUUUGAAUUAACUGUGGGUAGAAGCAAUACUUAAUGUAAAAGUACUCGAGGGAAAAACCUGGUCUGACAAAUUACAGAAGAUAAACAACGUUAUGGAUAGCUUGUGACUGUGAUGAGAUCAGAAACAGGCUGAUGGGGCACACUUCGUUUUGAAAAAGCAAUGGCUGUGCCUUAUCAUCAUGAAGCUUAUGACUGAUGUUAGAGAAAAGGUGAGAUCUUCCAACUAAGUGGCUUCCAGAGUAGAGUCUGAGCAUGAAGAGGCUUUGAUUUUUAUUAUUUCUUUUGUUGAGUUGCUAUUUGGUAUUCAAUAGGAGGUGCUCUUCCCUUAUCUUUGCUGUCUUUUUUCCCCUUGAAUUUUAAUGUUGAUGAUGUUAAGGCACCUAGCACCUCGAUAAGCAGCUUUUACUAAAGCUGAUAAAAUAAUUAUCUUCCUUACAGACUUGAUGUUUGGACAGGCCUCAAGCUAGUCAUAUGUAGAGCUCUUUCCUCCCCUUGGAAGUGCAGGAGAACCCUGCUGCUGGCAAAUUAGCUUGUGUUGUUUUUCUGUUCUUCUGCACAAUAUUUCUGUCAUACUUAGGAUGCUCAUCAUUGGACAGCUGAUAGGAUUAUGCUUAUGAAAGGACACGCAAAGUAUGAAGAGAAAUACUAGAAAACUGGGUCUUCCUGAUCUGAUUUUGUAUCAGGCUUUGAAUCCUCAUGGACUUAUCCCUGAGAGAACCUUAAAGCUGUGGAGAGUCCUGCAGCAACUCCCUAGACGAGCAAGAGCAAGGUGACAGUAGUAUACCAAAAGGAUUCACAGUGCUGGUCCAAAGUUCGCGCUUAAGGUGGUCUCAAGUGCUCAACUCACAUCAAAGAGUUGAUUUUACAGAAGGCAGCAAGAGACUGGAACAGGGCUGAGCAGUACGGUGUGGGAACUGUCUGAAGAAGUCCCACAGUGCUUCUGAUCAUGGAGGAGUCACUUCCCCCUAGGAAGCACAAGUGGACUGUAGUAGUGUGUCCACAUCCCCAUUUGGUGCCCAUUAGGGAAAAAUUAAGAGGCCCUUGCCCCUCUCUUCUUCAGUAUUCCCAGGUUUGGUAACUCCAGUUUGUGUUGAUCACAUCAGAUAAUUUGUACUCUGCAUUCCUCAAGUCUUCUGUAUUCUUUGUCAGUGGGAAGGAAGCGUUCAUAAACUUGUUUGCAUCACAAGUUUCUGAAAUUCACCUGUGGAUAAAGUUUUCUGUAAGAGCUUGUCUCACAGCCUUUAGUUUUGAAAGGUGAUUUUAGAAGCACGCGGUUACUGAUAACACCUCUGGGAGAUUGAUUCCCUCUGGAAAAUGUGUAACUCCUUAGCAAAGAUGAUGAGUUGUUAUGGUGAGUGAGUUUGUAAUCCCCUCAUCUGCUGGCUUUUUUUUUUUGACAAAUCUAUCCCUGAUGCUUCAUUGCAAGGCACUAAAGAAAAUCAUUCCUUUCUCCUUCAGGCAGUACGUAAGGCUUUCCACUUUCCCAUCUUUGAACUGUGAUUAAACAAAAACCAUCACAGCAACGUAGAUGGAGAAAUAAAAUGCACAAUAUUGCGUGCAAUAUAAAAUACAAAUAAAUCUCCAAGUUUUCUCCUUAAAAUGUGCGUGCCGCCUUUCCCUGCUCCACUAGGCUGAAAUAAUGAGGCAGGACCCAACUGGAUAAUAAGGCUGGCUCUGAUCUUCUCUUAUUCCACUGUGACUGCUGGCAUCCAAAUUUCUACUACCUCUCCAUUGCUCAAUUUGGGGUAUUCUUCUCUACUCUCAUUCUCUUUCUCCUACUGAUCUUUCCUUUUCCUGAUUGUAUCAGCCUUUCAGUUUGUACCAUGAUGGCAGGGUUGGACCCACUGUAUGUUUUGUACUGUGUGACAGGGAGAGCUGAAGCUCAUCAUCCCUUGGAUUUGUCAGGUGCUGUGUGAUGGAGUCGUCUGGAGUGUUAAUUCCUAUUUGAUUAUUCUGACAUUCUUGAUGAGAAAUACGCACAUUAAAAUCAUAAUGCAAUUACA